rnacentral:misc_RNA from 1 species
CCGAGUUUACAACUCCCAAACCCUUAUGUGAACUGUACCUAUUGUUGCUUCGGCGGGAACGCCCCGGCGCUCUAAGCCCGGACUCAGGCGCCCGCCGGAGACCCUAAACUCUUGUUUUUUAUUCGAGGUUUUCUCUGAGUGUCAAAACACAAUAAAUCA